AGCGAACGCUGGCGGCAGGCUUAACACAUGCAAGUCGAACGCUCAUCUUCGGAUGGGAGUGGCAGACGGGUGAGUAACACGUGGGAACGAACCCUUUGGUUCGGAAUAACUCAGGGAAACUUGAGCUAAUACCGGAUACGCCCUUUUGGGGAAAGGUUUACUGCCGAAGGAUCGGCCCGCGUCUGAUUAGCUAGUUGGUGGGGUAACGGCCUACCAAGGCGACGAUCAGUAGCUGGUCUGAGAGGAUGAUCAGCCACACUGGGACUGAGACACGGCCCAGACUCCUACGGGAGGCAGCAGUGGGGAAUAUUGGACAAUGGGCGCAAGCCUGAUCCAGCCAUGCCGCGUGAGUGAUGAAGGCCUUAGGGUUGUAAAGCUCUUUUGUCCGGGACGAUAAUGACGGUACCGGAAGAAUAAGCCCCGGCUAACUUCGUGCCAGCCGCCGCCGUAA
rnacentral:rRNA from 1 species